GCAGCCUGAUGCAGCCAUGCCGCGUGUGUGAAGAAGGCCUUCGGGUUGUAAAGCACUUUCAGUCAGGAGGAAAGGUUAGUAGUUAAUACCUGCUAGCUGUGACGUUACUGACAGAAGAAGCACCGGCUAACUCCGUGCCAGCAGCCGCGGUAAUACGGAGGGUGCGAGCGUUAAUCGGAAUUACUGGGCGUAAAGCGUACGCAGGCGGUUUGUUAAGCGAGAUGUGAAAGCCCCGGGCUCAACCUGGGAACUGCAUUUCGAACUGGCAAACUAGAGUGUGAUAGAGGGUGGUAGAAUUUCAGGUGUAGCGGUGAAAUGCGUAGAGAUCUGAAGGAAUACCGAUGGCGAAGGCAGCCACCUGGGUCAACACUGACGCUCAUGUACGAAAGCGUGGGGAGCAAACAGGAUUAGAUACCCUGGUAGUCCACGCCGUAAACGAUGUCUACUAGAAGCUCGGAACCUCGGUUCUGUUUUUCAAAGCUAACGCAUUAAGUAGACCGCCUGGGGAGUACGGCCGCAAGGUUAAAACUCAAAUGAAUUGACGGA
rnacentral:rRNA from 1 species